ACGGAAGGCAGCAGUGGGGAUUAUUGCACAAUGGGCGGAAGCCUGAUGCAGCGAUGCCGCGUGAGGGAAGAAGGUUUUCGGAUUGCAAACCUCUGUCCUCAGGGACGAUAAUGACGGUACCUGAAGAGGAAGCUCCGGCUAACUACGUGCCAGCAGCCGCGGUAAUACGUAGGGAGCGAGCGUUGUCCGGAAUUACUGGGUGUAAAGGGUGCGUAGGCGGGACGGCAAGUCAGAUGUGAAAUGUAUGGGCUCAACCCAUAACCUGCAUUUGAAACUGUUGUUCUUGAGUGAGGUAGAGGUAAGCGGAAUUCCUAGUGUAGCGGUGAAAUGCGUAGAUAUUAGGAGGAACAUCGGUGGCGAAGGCGGCUUACUGGGCCUUUACUGACGCUGAGGCACGAAAGCGUGGGGAGCAAACAGGAUUAGAUACCCUGGUA
rnacentral:rRNA from 1 species